rfam:Picea glauca, whole genome shotgun sequence.
AGGUGUGAUCAUACCAGCGUUAAUGCACUGGAUCCAAUCAGAACUCCGCAGUUAAGCAUGCUUGGGUUAGAGUAGUACUAGGAUGGGUGACUUUCCGAGAGGUCCUAGUGUUGCACCCU